rnacentral:rRNA from 1 species
GUUUACGGCCAUACCACCUUAGGCACGCCUGACCUCGUCUGAUCUCGGAAGCUAAGCAGGGUCGGGCCUGGUUAGUACUUGGAUGGGUGACCGCCUGGGAAUACCAGGUGCUGUAAGUA